rnacentral:rRNA from 1 species
UAGUUGGUGGGGUAAAGGCCUACCAAGGCGACGAUCUGUAGCGGGUCUGAGAGGAUGAUCCGCCACACUGGAACUGAGACACGGUCCAGACUCCUACGGGAGGCAGCAGUGGGGAACUUUGGACAAUGGGGGCAACCCUGAUCCAGCCAUGCCGCGUGAGUGAAGAAGGCCUUCGGGUUGUAAAGCUCUUUCGUCCGGGAAGAAAUCGCACAGGCUAAUACACUGUGUGGAUGACGGUACCGGAAUAAGAAGCACCGGCUAACUACGUGCCAGCAGCCGCGGUAAUACGUAGGGUGCGAGCGUUAAUCGGAAUUACUGGGCGUAAAGCGUGCGCAGGCGGUUUUGUAAGACAGGCGUGAAAUCCCCGGGCUCAACCUGGAACUGCGCUUGUGACUGCAAGGCUAGAGUACGGCAGAGGGGGGUGGAAUUCCACGUGUAGCAGUGAAAUGCGUAGAGAUGUGGAGGAACACCGAUGGCGAAGGCAGCCCCCUGGGCCGAUACUGACGCUCAUGCACGAAAGCGUGGGUAGCAAACAGGAUUAGAUACCCUGGUAGUCCACGCCCUAAACGAUGUCAACUAGGUGUUGGGUGGGUAAAACCAUUUAGUACCGUAGCUAACGCGUGAAGUUGACCGCCUGGGGAGUACGGCCGCAAGGUUAAAACUCAAAGGAAUUGACGGGGACCCGCACAAGCGGUGGAUGAUGUGGAUUAAUUCGAUGCAACGCGAAAAACCUUACCUACCCUUGACAUGUCCGGAAUCCCUGAGAGAUUGGGGAGUGCCCGAAAGGGAAUCGGAACACAGGUGCUGCAUGGCUGUCGUCAGCUCGUGUCGUGAGAUGUUGGGUUAAGUCCCGCAACGAGCGCAACCCUUGUCGUUAAUUGCCAUCAUUAAGUUGGGCACUUUAGCGAGACUGCCGG